UACGUAGGGUGCGAGCGUUGUCCGGAAUUAUUGGGCGUAAAGGGCUCGUAGGCGGUUUGUCGCGUCGGGAGUGAAAACCUCGGGCUUAACUCGGGGCUUGCUUUCGAUACGGGCAGACUGGAGGUAUGCAGGGGAGACUGGAAUUCCUGGUGUAGCGAUGAAAUGCGCAGAUAUCAGGAGGAACACCGGUGGCGAAGGCGGGUCUCUGGGCAACAACUGACGCUGAGGAGCGAAAGCGUGGGGAGCGAACAGG
rnacentral:rRNA from 1 species